rnacentral:rRNA from 1 species
UACGGAGGGGGCAAGCGUUGUUCGGAUUCACUGGGCUUAAAGGGCGCGUAGGUGGUCUUGUAAGUCAAAGGUGGAAUUCCACAGCUUAACUGUGGAACUGCCUUUGAUACUGCAAGGCUUGAGUCAGGUAGAGGAGGGCGGAAUUCCCGGUGUAGCGGUGAAAUGCGUAGAUAUCGGGAGGAAGGCCGGUGGCGAAGGCGGCCCUCUGGGCCUGUACUGACACUGAGGCGCGAAAGCGUGGGGAGCAAACAGG